AUGCCGUCCUCCUACGCCGCGGCCGCCGCAUCCUCUUCGCGGAAACCAGCUCCUUUCACUACUGCUACCGCCACCACCCGUAAACCAGCACCCUUACCUGCACCCGCGCCCCCGCCGUCGAACCCUAGCCACGUCUCCGAUUCUGACCCUUCCUCCUACUCCUCCUCCGGGGAAGAGACCGAUCUCAGCGCCUGCGACCCGGCGACUGCGUCCGUCCUCUCCACCUACCUCUCCGUCGCCGGAAAUGGCGCUGACCUCUCGAAAGUCGGCAUCUUCCUCAACUCCGCCGCGCGCCGCCGAUCACCGCCGUGCCUGAUCUGCUUGGACCCCAUCCGCCCCUCGGAUCCCGUCUGGUCCUGCUCCGCCUCAUGCUUCGCCCUUCUCCACCUCCCCUGCAUCCAGUCAUGGGCACACCAGUCAGCCUCCGCCGCUCCUGCCCCCACCUGGGGCUGCCCCAAGUGCCGCGUCGCCUACCCCAAAUCCCAGACCCCCACCUCCUACCACUGCUUCUGCUCCAAGACCGAAGACCCUCCCGCGGACCCCUGGAUCCUCCCCCACUCCUGCGGCGACGUCUGCGGCCGCCGCCUCAAUUCAAAUCCCGACUCCGGCUGUGAGCACACCUGCCUCCUGCUUUGCCACCCUGGACCAUGUCCUCCAUGCCCGGCUGUUGUUCCUAACGCUCGGUGCUUCUGCGGGGCGCACCGUGAGCCCCGGCGCUGUGCGCAUCAGCGUUAUUCUUGUAAGGGUAAAUGCAAUAAACGCCUUAGCUGUGAACUCCACCGUUGUCCGGUGGAUUGCCAUGAUGGGCCAUGCCCACCGUGUGCUGUGCGGGGGAAUCACAGAUGUGAGUGUGGAGAGACAAUGGUGGAGAGGUUGUGCUCUGAAAGAGUUUUCCAGUGCAAGAGGGAGUGUAGUGGGAUGCUGGAGUGUGGGAAGCAUAAGUGUGAGAGGGGAUGCCAUGGUGGGAAGUGCGGGGAAUGUCCGCUUCGUGGGCAGCGGACUUGCCCUUGUGGCAAGAAGGAUUAUCCAAGGUUGGAGUGUGAUGUGGAGGCCGCGACAUGUGGAUCGACUUGUGAGAAGGUGCUUGGGUGCGGACGGCACAAGUGCCCCGAGCGGUGCCAUCGUGGCCCGUGUGACGUGACCUGCCGGCUUGUGAUAAAAAAGUCCUGCCGCUGUGGUGUUCUGAAGAAGGAGCUGCCUUGCCACCAAGACUUGACCUGCGAAAGGAAAUGUCAGCGUUUACGUGCCUGUGGACGCCACGCUUGUAAGCGACGUUGUUGUGUUGGGGAUUGCCCACCCUGCGCAGAGACUUGUGACAGGAGGCUCAGAUGUGGAAACCAUAAGUGUCUCUCUCCAUGCCACAGAGGCGCUUGUUCACCUUGUCCAUUGAUGAAGACCAUCUCAUGCUUCUGUGGGAAAACAUACUUUGAGGUUCCUUGUGGGACCGAGAAGAAUCAGAAACCUCCCAAAUGCUCAAAAAGAUGCAAUAUAGAUCGUCUUUGCAGACACAAGCUUGAUUGCCGGCCCCAUAAAUGCCACUAUGGAGCCUGUCCACCUUGCAAACUGAUCUGCGGGGAAGAACUUUCUUGUGGCCACAAGUGUAAAGAAAGGUGUCAUGGCUCUAUUCCUCCACCGAACCCUGAGUUCACAGUUAAACCAAUGAAAAAGAAAAUGGAAAAGCAUAUAGAAUGUACACCUGGAACUCCAUGCCCACCAUGCCAAGAAGUAGUCUUGGUGCCAUGUUUUGGAGAGCAUCUAGGCCAAGAACGUGCAAUACCUUGCUCCAAAAGCAGGCAAUUUCCCUGUCAGAAUUUAUGUGGAAACCUUCUCCACUGUGGUAACCAUUAUUGCACAAAGGAUUGCCAUGUGUUAGAGAUUCCAUCGGAUCAACGUAAGGCUGAUACCAUAUUAUCUCUCAGUAGAAAGAACACUCUUGCUGAGCCUUGCGAAAGAUGCAAUCUUCCUUGUCAAAGGGCCAGGGAUCCUCCUUGUUCACACCCUUGCCCUUCACGGUGUCAUCUAAGCGACUGUCUACCUUGCAAAGCCCUUGUUAAAAGAUCAUGUCAUUGUGGUGCUAUGACACAUGCUUUCGAGUGUGUGUACUAUAACAACUUAAAUGCCAAGCAACAGCUGAAAGUAAGGUCCUGCGGUGGCCCGUGUCAUAGGAAACUACCAAAUUGCCCCCAUCUGUGCUCAGAAAUAUGUCACCCUGGUCAAUGCCCGUCAGUGGAUCAGUGCAUGAAAAAGGUUAAUGUACGUUGUGCAUGCAACACCCUGAAAAAAGAGUGGGUAUGUCAAGAUGUUCUCAAGGAGUACCGAAGGUCUGGCCGUGACCCAAAAGUAGCAAAAGGUCAGUUUGGAGUUGGCCUAAUUGCAUGCGGUGGAGAUUGUGUGAAAAAGGUCAAUGUUCCAGCUGCAGAGUUGCAUCAACGGAAAGUUCAGGAGAAUAAGAACCCUGCUGCAGAAGUCACAAACGUGCCCAAACGGAGGAAGAAGCGUGACCGCGGAGCACAGGAACCUGUUCAGGUUUCGAUGUGGCAGCAAAUGAAGCGGUAUCUCGUGGUGAUAAUUGCGUUAGCUGGAUUGGUGGUGCUGGGACUACUUAUUUGGAAAGGCGUCUACCAGAUUUCGGAUUGGAUGAACGAAAUGGAAGAGCAGAAGGCCAGGGAAAGGCUUCUGAGGGCUGGAAGGCUGUAA
rnacentral:rRNA from 1 species